CCCUGACAGUGACAUGGUGUUACUGACAUUAACCCAGACAGGAGAUCGACAUG
rnacentral:ncRNA from 1 species